rnacentral:rRNA from 1 species
GACGAACGCUGGCGGCGUGCUUAACACAUGCAAGUCGAACGGAAAGGCCCUGCGUUUUUGCGCUGAUCGAGUGGCGAACGGGUAAGUAAGACGUGAGUAACCUGCCCUUGAUUUUGGGAUAACUUCAGGAAACUGGGGCUAAUACCGGAUAGGAGCUCCCGCUGCAUGGUGGGGGUUGGAAAGUUUCGGCGGUUGGGGAUGGACUCGCGGCUUAUCAGCUUGUUGGUGGGGUAGUGGCUUACCAAGGCUGUGACGGGUCGUCCGCCUGAGAGGGUGAACGGCCACAUUGGGACUGAGAUACGGCCCAGACUCCUACGGGAGGCAGCAGUGGGGAAUAUUGCACAAUGGGCGGAAGCCUGAGGCAGCAACGCCGCGUGCGGGAUGACGGCCUGCGGGUUGUAAACCGCUUUCGCCUGUGACGAAGCGUGAGUGACGGUAAUGGGUAAAGAAGCACCGGCUAACUACGUG